UCUCCGUAGGUGAACCUGCGGAGGGAUCAUUAUUGAAAGUUGUGAGGGCGUAAGCCUGAACUACUUCUCUACCCAUGUUAUCACAUCAAUUGUUGCUUCCCUGAGGAAACUCAGGGGACGCUAUUAAACUUAUUGUCAUUAUUGUCAGUACAAAACAACUUUAUAAAACCAUCAGCAACGGAUCUCUUGGUUCUGGCAUCGAUGAAGAACGCAGC
rnacentral:misc_RNA from 1 species